AAAAAAAUUUCUUUUAAAAUAGUUUGUCUUGUGGUUUAGAUUGAAAGAUUUAGACACCACAGAAUGAGAUGACCUGGAUGAUCAACAGCUGGCGCGGUGCACCAAACAAUAAUUUAACAUUGCUUAAUUUCUCGUAUAGCCGGGCUAGAGUCCGGCUACUAUACUCUUAUAAGUAUAGGUCCCUUUGCACUCAUAAGUUCUCAGUCGUUAAAUUUAAUCUUUUGAUUAUUUCCUCCCGUUAGAUCAUACUAUUCAACUAACCGCCCACUCAACCCUAAAGGACUGCUAUCAUCCUAGCUAUGAAUCACCAUCAUUCCAACCGCACAUCUCUUUAUCAAACGGUCAAAAAUUUAUGAGUACAAAUGAGCCUAUACUUGUAAGAGUAUAAUAACUCUAGCAGCCUGGCUAUUUGUACAUUUCAAAAAAAUAAUAAAUUUUACAACACAAGUUGUAUCGAUGCGUAUCGAUCACAAAAUAAUAACAGUAAAUAUUUAUCUUUUUCACACUAAUAUACGAUUAACUAUUUACUAAUUUAUAAAAAAAAGUAAAUUUUAAAUCGUGUCAUCACCUUGUGGUUGGAAAAUUAUACUAUGCUGAUAUUUUGUCCGUACGACACAAUACAGUAGGAACUUAAAAUCUUUGAAUCAUUUACUUGUCUUAAUCAAAUUCCAUUGCAGGUAUUUGCAAGACAUUAGUAAGUCUAAAAAAAUGAUAAGAAAAUGUUGGGAAGAUAUCUUGCCUCGUCGACAUAAAAGACAAUAUUUCAAUUUUAAUAUUCAAUGAUAUGAAUUCAUUACAAAAAAAAAAGCAACGGAAUAAUUUGCCAAAUACAAAGAAGGAAAGGAGCAUAAUUAGAAGGAUUUCAUAUGUCAAACUUCUCCACAUCAUCAGUAUUAAUAUAUUAUAAUAGUAUUUUGAAAAACUUACAGUAAUAUUUAAACUUUGAAUAGUCAUAUAAAUUUCUGUGUUUAUUUUAUUAGUUGGCUACUAAAAUCAAUUUUCUUCUCAAUUGUUUCAAACUUUUUAUUUUUCCUACUAAUUUCCUGUUAAUUAAUAAAUACCAUAAGGGUACAUAUGCAAAUUCCCCCCAGAUUAAAAUCAAGCCCACGGGUGGGGGGUCCUUCUGCAGCCUUUUUACCCUUCCCACUCUUUCGGCUCCGCCUUCGUCUUUUUAAAUUAAAUAAAUAAUAAAAUAAAUAAAAAACCCAAUUUUUUUUUUCUUUUUUUAAAUUAUUUUUUAUUAUUUGAGUUACUUUGUCUUGACCCCCACCCACUCUCUCUAUAUAUAUAGAGGCCAGAGGAAGGCCACAGUCCACAAUCAAAAGAGAGGAAAAAAAUCAUCACACACAAACUCGCGGAGGAGAGAAAAGUAGAGAGAUGGACGCGAAGGGCGGUCGCGUCCAGAUCGGAUUCCAGGCGGGGAGCAACGCCGUCCCCACUCGGGAUGUUCAAAUUUUGACAUCCGGCGGCCGCAAAAUUUCCGCCCAUACUGCAGUUCUUGUAAGCACCCGAAACCUUCAAUCGAAAAGACAUUCAAAACUUUAUGUACUACAAUACAAUUAGAUACUCUUGAGUCCCAGAAGCUUACUAAGCGUAUAAUCGAUGUCUAAUCAUAUGCACUUUUUUAAAAAAGUAUUAAAUUUAUAUUUGUUUGUUUGUUUGUUUGUUUGUUUGUUUACAGGCCGCGGCGUCGCCGGUGAUGGAGAGUAUAUUGGAUCGGGCACAAAAGCGUGGAAAACCGCGCAGGGUUAUUAGGAUUCUGGGAGUCCCCUGUGACGCUGUAACGGCGUUUGUGCGGUUGAUACACUCUUCUGGGUAUGUGUUUUUUUCUUUUUUUCUUUUUUCUUUUUUUUGGGUUAAAUUGAUUUUAUUUAAAUAUUUAGUAAAAGAAAGGAAAAGUAAAUCUAAUGCAUUGAGGACCCUAUGUUUAAGGAGAAAUUAUUGCCCUGUAUCGUGAUGUAGUACCAUGCUCUGCUUUUAAUUAAAAAUAUUUUAAAUUUCAUUUGAUUCUAAUAUAAAUAUUGUAGGAAUAGGUGCGAGUUUCGUUAUAAGCAAAAAUUAGAGUAAGUUUUUGUUUAGAAUUAUUUCUGAGAAUAAAAUAAAUAAUAUUUGAAUAGGCUCCGUUUGGCUCGAAUAUAAAUAAGAAUUAUUUAUUGUAGAGAUAUGUACAAGUUUCGCUAUAUGUAGAAACUAGAUUAAGUUUUUAUUUGGAAUUGUUUCUAGGAAUAAGAUAAAUAGUAUUUGAAUGAUUCGAUUGCAAUAGUAAAAAUAAAAUUAAUAAAUUAAUAAAUAUAAGUAUUAGUUAAUUAAUUACUUAAAUAAUAUAUUAAUGAAUUAAUUAGUUAAUUAUAGAUAAUUAGUUAAAAAUUAAAUAUGUUACUCAAAAUAUUAAUAGUUGAUCAAUAUGAAUAUUGAUUAUUAAGUAAAUUGGUUAAAAUAUCUUUUUUUAAUUAUUUAAUUAAUUGUAAAUAAUAAAAUUAAUUAAUUACUUUACUAUUUAAGCAGCAGGUAAUGACUUAAAUAUGUUAAUUAGAUUAAUUAGUAAUUUAAUAUCAUAGUUAAAAUUAGAUUAAAUUUUAAUUAAUUUUGUUCCCACUUACGAAUAAUCUUGUUCCAGAAAAUAGGGUGGAACAACUGUUCCAAAAUUAUAUUGGAUUAUACCAAGUUAUUAAUAUUUGAAAAUAAAAAGGGAAACAGUGAUUUAUUCUCUUUUUGUUCCUAAACGAAACAUUACCUAAAAUUAAAUUGUAAUAUGUUACAUAUAAAUUGUUCGCUGAUCUCGGAAGUGCUUACAAACAUUCCACAAAAUUGCGACAAACUCAUAAUUUUACUCUUCAGCUCCAUUAUUCAUGAGCGAAACAUUACCUAAACUUAAGUUUUAAUAUGUUAGACGUAAAUUGUUAAUUGAUCUUGAAGCAAACAAUACUUUUCUUACAAACAUUCCACAAUAUUCAUCAUUUCAAUAAAUGAAACGAUUAGCAUAUUAUCAUUUUUUUAAAAAAAAUAUUUCACAAUAUUGCGAUAAACUUAUAAUUUUACUCUUCAGCUUUAUUAUUCGUGAAAAAUCUGUAAAGACAAACUCAUAAUUUUACUCUUCAAUUCCAUUAUUCAUGAAAAAUCUGCAAAGACAAAUUCAUAAUUUUACUCUUCAGCUUCGUUAUUAGUGAAAAAUCUGCAGAGAUUCGAACACGUGACCCCUCUACACUGUGUCCAGGUGUCUUAAAAAUUAUAUUCAAAUUUCGAAGUAUAUUUUAGUUGAAUAUGUGUGACUUGGCUGAUGCACGGCUAAGCUGGUGCAUCGGGUGCGGACAAUAAUUUCUCAUCAUAACUGGUGCCUGUUUCUUGGACCAAUGUAUGUACUUGGUCAUCUUCAUGCUCAUCGCUGUCACAUGCACCGUUCGAAACUAAAGAAAAUAAAAAAAUCAAGGGUCCAGAAUCUUCCUCAUGGCUCUGAGAAUUUCACAUUUCCCUGUCAAAAAUUACAUUUUUUUUAAAUUUUUUUAAUUUUAAGUUAAUUCUUACUUGGGGGUCCCACGCAACUCUUAUGUCGUCCCUUUCAUCCAAUCACAGCCCUCCAUUCGUCCGUUUCAGGAAUUGUACACGGUCCAUUUCGUUCUAUGAUAGGCAUAAUAAUUGACUCAACACCACCUAGCAGAUGUUUUUCUGUGGAUCAUGUGCCACGAUGCAUAAUACACGGUCACAAUAAUUUUAGUUCUUAUUUUUCACUUUAUUAAGGUAAUAAAGAGUACACAAAUUUUUUGGAUGUGACUGAAUAUCUAUGAAUAAUAAGAAAUAAAUUAAUCAAUCAAUAUAAGCAUUUUUUACACUGUUUAUGAUAAAAUAUUAUAUUAUCAUUCAUAUUUUAAAUAUUUGAUUGAACUUCAAAUUUAAUCCCAAUGCCCAACUUAUGGCGUAGAAACGGAUCAUGUCAUGUCAAUCAGGUGCGUGUCCUUGGACGAGGAGGAGGAGAUGGGCAGGUACGGGCUGCACCUGCUGGUGCUGUCGCACGCGUACAGCGUGGGGUGGCUGAAGCGCGCGUGCGAGGGGGCGCUGGCGCUGCGGCUGACGGCGGAGGGCGUGGCGGACGUGUUGCUGCUGGCGCGGCAGUGCGACGCCCCGCGGCUGUACCUCCGCUGCAUGAAGCUGCUGGCCAAGGACUUCGCCGCCGUCAAGAAGACCGAGGCCUGGCAGUUCCUCCAGGCCAACGACCCCUGGCUCGAGCUCGAAAUCCUCCAGUUCCUCCAGGAGGCCGAACUGGUACGUCACCAAAAUGUAUUAUGUUUGGUUCUCCCGUAGAAUAUAGUAAUUUUUGACAAUUCAUAUAAAUAAAUAAAUAAAUAAAUAGAUAGAUAAAAAUAUAUAAAAUUUAUCUGAAUUAUGAAUUAUUUUGAUAGAGAAAGAAGCGGGUUGGGCGCAAGCUGGCGUACCAGCGGGUGUAUGAAGAGCUGGGGGACGCAAUGGAGUGCCUGCAGCACAUGUACGUGGGCAAGGAGGGAAGCAAGAAGAACCACCCCUGCUCCUCAUCUGCCUGCUACCGCAACCUGCAGCUCCUCAUCCAACACCUCGCCGCCUGCCCCCGCAGGAAAGCCUGCCCCCGCUGCUGCCGCAUGUUGCAGCUCCUCCGCCUCCACUCCGCCAUCUGCGACGACAGCACGCAACAGGCUUGCCGCAUCCCUCUUUGCUCGUAAGUCUCUACGCUGCUAUCGUAAAAGAAUUUGUUAGUUAAUGCUUUUAUCAUCCGCCUACGUUCAGGUGUAUCUGAGUCAUUUGGCUUUCAUAUGACUGAUGAUUGUUUAGGAAACAUUGGGAGGGAGUAUGCUGAGUUGGUGGUUGAUUGAUUUUAUAGUCUAUUUGGUACCACUUCUGUAUCUGUUCUCAGCAGCAGCAGCAGCAGUAUCAAGGAGAAAUUCUGGAGCUUCUGCUGUAGCGAGAAACUGAAAUUAGAUUUUCAACGUCAAAAACGAAUUACGUAAUGCUUCUUCUAAUAGCACGACAUCUAUUGGCAGUGUAAUCGCUCUAAUGUUUGGGGAGUUUGACAUAUUUUUCCUUUUCUUUUUGUUAGAGAACAAACUUAACCACUGAUGCCCUGCUUGUUGGGUUUUCCGUCUAUACCUGCAGGCACUUCAAGCUGAGAAUGCAGCAGCAGAAGGAAGAUUCUCAGCAGCAGCAGAAGGAAGGGAAAGAAGAGGACGACACGUGGCAGCUUCUGGUGAAGAAGGUGAAGGUUGCUCGAGUUAUGUCCUCCUUCUCUAAGAGGAAGGGACAGGAAGGAGUUCAUGAGCAAUUCGCCCUUUGCUCUACUACUGCAAAGACCAGUGACUAAUGUCAUGGAAAUUUUCUUUUUCCUUUUGUUCUUUCCCCCCUGUUAGUAAGGAAUUAAGAUGCGCCUUCCUUAUAAAGAGAGCAGCUCGAUGCACGUAUAUGCAUGCCAAUCUUCUAGAGAGAGAGUUCUUAGCUUGUUAAAAAAAGGAGCAUGCAGCUGUUAUAGAAGUGAAACUUGUAUUAGAUAAUAGUUUGGUGUGUGUAUAUGUAUGUCUAUCUUCUAGAGAGAGAAAGAGUUUUUAGCUUGUAAAAAUGGGGCAGGCAGCUGUUAUAGAAGUGGAACUUGUAUUAGAGAAGAGUUUGGUGUGUGUAUAUGUAUGUCUAUCUUCUAGAGAGAGAGAGAAAGAGUUCUUAGCUUGUUAAAAAAUGGUAGGUAGCUGUUAUAGAAGUGGAACUUGUAUUAGAGAGGAGUUUGGUGUGUGUAUAUGUAUGUCUAUCUUCUAUAGAGAGAGAAAGAGUUCUUAGCUUGCAAAAAUGGGGCAGACAACUGUUAUAGAAGUGGAACUUGUAUUAGAGAGGAGCUUGGUGUGUAUAUGUAUGUCUAUAUUCUAGAGAGAGAGAGAAAGAGUUCUUAGCUUGCUAAAAAAGGGCAGUAGCUGUUAUAGAAGUAGAACUUGUAUUAAAAAGGAGUUUAGUGUGUUUAUGUAUGUCUAUCUUCUAGAGAGAGAGAAAGAGUUCUUAGCUUGCAAAAAUAGGGCAGACAGCUGUUAUAGAAGUGAAACUUGUAUUAGAGAGGAGCUUGGUGUGUGUCUAUGCAUGUCUAUCUUCUAGAGAGACAGAAAGAGCUCUUAACUUGCAAAAAAAGGGCAGGCAGCUAUUAUAAAAGUGGAACUUGUAUUAGAGAGGAGCUUGAUGUGUGUAUAUGUAUGUUUAUCUUUUAGAGAGAGAGACUUCUUAGUUUAUAUAAAAAGGGGCAGGUAGCUGUUAUAGAAGUGGAAUUUGUAUUAGAGAGGAGCUUGGUGUGUAUAUAUGUAUGCCUAUCUUUCAGAGAGAAUCACUCCAGCUGUUAUAAAAGUGGAUCUUGUAUUAGCAUAAGAACAAUUAGUUACAUUUUGCAACUAACUUAAGAUAUAAUAUGCAAUAAGAAACUUAAGCUGAUCAUGAUUUUUAAAUAUAAUUGAUUCAUCGAAUGACGAACGUACAAAUGUCUUUUUGGAUGCUUAGCAUAGUAUUUCGCUUUUGUUUACUCAAGAGUGUUGCAGUAAUUCUUGCAAUUGAUAGCCGAAAAAUGCGAUCAAUAUCUAUAACUAUAAUAUAUAAUAAAAAUAAAUGGGCUAAAAGACUCAAUUUUUAAUAAAAAUAAAAUAAUCUUUAUUUUUAUAAAAUAAGUUAUUAUUAAAUAAUUUAUUUUACCAUCCAAAUGAACCUUAAAAUUUACAUUUCCUCCGCAUUUCCUGGUAAUGAAGCUGACCCUAGUUUUCUCCAUGCAAAUCAGGUUAGAGUCGAUAGAUCAGAAUGUCGUAAUCAAAUUACAAUCUUUGAAGUUUCCCUAAUGAAAGAGAUCUCUAAGUUAAGAAAUUCGAGUCUAGUCUACAGUAAUUAAAGAUUAUUUGACGUGUAGAAUUAGGUAUGCAUGUCAGCAAUGACUAAGUUGAAAAAGUCCAUUAGUACGUUCUAUUAAUUUAAUUCAUCGUCACGCCUUUUACUUUAUGAACUUGACCACACGCCUAAUGACAGAUCAAUCACUCCAGAGAUCAUUUACGCGCUGAUGAAACAAUUUUUAUUUCAUUUAGCUGCUGAUCGCAAUUUUGUCCGAUGAAGCCGCCUUAGGAGGACCGGAAUUCGAGAAUUACGCAGGAGUAAAACUUAAUAAAGAGGUUUUCUUACUCCGAACUAUAACCGCCUAUUUGGUACAUUUGACUGAAAAUUGAGUUCCUAAUUUUCAACAAUUUAGUACGGUAGUCCAACGCAAAAUUCACGAAGUUUAAGUGAAGCCAAAGUAACUUCUGCCGUGAUCAAGAAGGACACGAGCCAACAGCUCAUCCGUGGCAGCAUUAGACCGACGGGCCACAGACGAGCAUCCUUGGCUUGGGGCAAAGCUUUGGCAGAGAGCGGAAAAGGUUCUGGUCCUUCACAGCCUCGGGUCGGGAUACAGCACGGCACGGAUACUAUAAUACUAUUGCCAGGCCAGACCGGCCUGAGCCUCUGGGCUGUGCUGGGCUGCUCCUCUGUGGCCCGACGGCCUGGCACGGCGGGAGGCCGAUCUUCAUACUUGGGAUAUUUUUUGAAUAUCCCAUCAACCAAUAUCUCAAUAAAUUCAUGGACCACAAUUUUAUGGAUGUACAGAUACAGCAGAUUUUAGUGUGUUCAGAUCGAGAUAUUUGGACAGCUUGCAACAACUAGUACUAUUUUUUUUUUUUUUUCCCCUCAAAAAAGAAAUAAUACUAAGGUACAUUUUAAUUUAUUAUGAUAAAAAUAUUAGAGGUUGAGAGGAUACCACCCUCCAUAAGUUUAGUCGAGUCUCUUUCUAAGCAGCGUCAGUUCUGACAUUUACGACUAAACUUCUAAUAGCCUGAUGAUAAUGUACACGUAACCUAUACACAUAACGUCCUAUCUUAAGAUUAUGACGUUCCAACUUGUGUCUGUGCCCAUAAGAUUUUUUCUUGGGCCAAGUGUUUAGAAUAGAUUUUUGAAAUAAAAGAAAUAAGGAAAGAAAAAAAAGAAAAAGACAUUGAGGUCGCUUCUGGCCCCAGCUUUUCAUAAAAUCUACACGCGCCGUGCUCGACCCGAAGGGACCAUGGAUUGCAGUGGCGAUAGAACAAUCUAAAUCUAAGCAUCCAACCCAUUUCAUUCAAUUUGAUCCUAGCCGUUGGAUUUCAUAGUGCUAAUUAAUGUUGCCAAAGAAUUAUUCGUUAAUUACUCGUAUUCUUUUUUUGUUAAUUGCCCGAAUCUUUUUUUUUGAAAAAUAAAUUUUCUCUUAAAAUAGUUAGUGUUGUGGGUUUAGAUCGAAAGAUUUAGACAUGACAGAAUGACCGGAUGGUCCACAGCUAGUGCAGUGCUCUAAGCAAUAAUUUAACAUUGCUUAAUUUGUCGUAUAGCCUGGCUAUUUAUACAUUCCAAAAAAAAAAUAAAUUUUACAACACAAGUUGUGUCGAUGCGUGUGGCUAUUUAUACAUUCCAAAAAAAUAAUAAAUUUUACAACACAAGUUGUGUCGAUGCGUGUGGCUAUUUAUACUUUCCAAAAAGAAAAAAUUUACAAUACAAGUUGUGUCGAUACGAGUGGCUAUUUAUACUUUCCAAAAAAAAAAAAAUUUACAACACAAGUUGUGUCGAUACAUGUUGUUCACAAAAUAAUAACAGUAAAUAUUUAUCUUUGUCACGCCCAUAUACUAUUAACUAUUUACUAAUUUAUAAGAAAAGUAUUAUUUUUUUAGAGAGAUAGGUAGCUUGCUACCUGCUUCGUUUAUUUUGUUUAAAAAUAAACUUAGCUGGAAAUGUGAAUCAACUAGGAUUCGAAUCUGGAUCUCGGGUACCAACCACCAAGUCCUUUGCCACUUGUUCUAGGGACGGUCGGUAAAAAAAAAAAAAAGUAAAUUUUAAAUCGUGUCAUCACCUUACGGUAGGAAAAUUAUACUAUGCUGAUAUUUUGUUGGUACCACACAACGCAGCAGGAACUUAAAAUCUUUGGAUCCUUUACUUCUUUUAAUCAAAUUCCAUUGCAGGUAUUUGCAAGACAUUAGUAAGUAUAAAAAAAUGAUAAGAAAAUGUUGAGAAGAUAUCUUGCCACGUCGGUAUAAAAGACAAAAUUUCAAAUUUAAUAUUCAAUGAUAUGGAUUCAUUACAAAAAAUGCGACAGAAUAAUUUGCCAAAUAUAAAAAGAAAAGGAGCUUAAUUUGAAGGAUUUUACAAUUGUAUAUUUUCUAUUACAAAUCUCUAUAUAUUAAUAAAGUUUCAUUCCUCACUCGAUGUGAGAGGAAUUCACCAAUUUUAAAUUUUCUUUAUGGUAUCAAAGCAGAAGGUCUUGAGUUUGAAUCACGCCAGGUUCCUAGCAUAUUAAUUUUCUCCUAUUUAAUUUAAGCCCACAUCAUAGGUCAACUAAAAAGUCUCGAAUUCAUGCGUGAAGGGGAGUGUAAACAUAACUGUGGCAAAGAAUUUAUACUGUGGUCCAAGGCCACUUAAGAGCCAAAAAAUCUUACUUUGAUCAGAGACAGGUUUGCCAAUAGCAUUUAAUUGAUCACAAAUCGACUUAAACUCUCGCAAAUAUGCAAAUAAGGAAGAUGUAUCAUUCUUUAUAUAUUGAAGUUUCGAAAGUAAUUCAAAUUCACGAGCCUGCGAAUUUGGAGAAAAUGUAUAUGCAAGAGCUUGCCAUACACCUGUUGAAGUCUUCACAUCUACAACAAGUCUCAGGACUUCUUCGGAGAGAGUUCUGGUGAUCCAAGUUUUCACUAGACGAUUCGUACGCGUCCAUGCUGUGAAAUCUGAAUUUUAAAUUUUGCUACUUUUGUCAGAUGAAGGUACUUCAUGAUGUGGUGGCUUUGAUUCUCCAGUGAUGAAACCAAGUAAAUCGCGACUCUCGAUUAAUGAUAAUACUUGUGUUUCCUACAGUAAAUAAUUGGCUGUGGUAUUAAUUUGAGAGAAAUGAAAUUAGCAACAUGGAGGUUGGAUAAAUAUGGAUAUUUGGAGGUUGAAGUCAGUAUCUUUGAGAAGGUGGUAGUCUUUCGGUAUGGCUCUGAUACCAUAAAGAAAAUUUAAAAUGAAUGAAUUCUUCUCACAUUAGGUGAAGGAAGAAAUUUUAUUAAUAUAUAGAGAUUUAUACAUGAAUGAAUAGAAAAUAUAUAAUUAUAAAAUCUUUCAAAUUAGGCUUUUUUUUUCUUUGUAUUUGACAAAUUAUCAUGUUGUGAUUUUUUUUUUAUAAUAAAUUUAUAUUAUUGAAUAUUAAAUUUAAAAUAUUGCCUUUCAUGGCCGGACAGUUGCAGUUGGUGCGGCCGGGAGGUGGGUCUGGGAGCUGAGCUGUCUGUUGUUUCGGAUCAGAACGGAGCCGCUGGCGUCCGCGUCAGCAGCUUCCGGGUCGGGCGGCUGGCAGCGGGGACGGAGUCGCUUCGGCGCUCCAANUCUCUCUCUCUCUCUCUCUCCCUCUCUAAUCGCCCCUUUGAGCCCCCCUUAAUAGCUUACGUCACUAAUGAAAUCAUCACCUACUAGCAAAGCCGGUUAGUCGGUGAGAGGACAAAUCGCAUUUAGACCCUCUGACCCUUCCGAAUGUUGCCAUUAUAGAUCCCUCUUGUAUUAAUCUAUAUUUUUUUUUCAAAUGUUGCCAUUAUAGAUCCCUCUUGUAUUAAUCUAUAUUUUUUUUUCAAAAAAAAAUAUAGUAAACCAUCUGUUCUAUUUUUUAAAAAAAAUAAAUUAAGUUAUAAAAAAAAGAAAGGUCGAGAGGGUGAGAUUGGACCCUAGAACAGUCUAUCACAGCUAGACCAAUCUUUACCGCAGAUUAUCCAAUCUCCUAUCCGAGUAAAUAUAUUGUUUACGAUCUGUAAAUAUGAUUUCUUUUGAUGUUUGAUUGUUCAGAAAUUCUGUUAUUUCUUUCUAACUAGAUCGUCCGCUACGAGGAUGUAAGCACGGUAAGUUUCUCACUUCUUCUUUGUAUGUUUUGAAUUUUUUUUGUUAUCUUUUAAAGAUCACGUUCUGGUUGUGCAAUGUGAGUAUAGAAGAAUAUCUUUAAAAUAAACUUAUAUGAGUAAGGCUUACUUUGUGAUGUAUUAAUAAGCUUAUAUGAUAUUGUUAGAAUGCGUGUGUUAGUAUAUCAGUUUUCUCCAUAUCAUCAGUAUUAAUAUAUUAUAAUAGUAUUUUGAAAAACUUACAGUAAUAUUUAAACUUUGAAUAGUCAUAUAAGUUUCUGUGUUUAUUUUAUUAGUUGACUACGAAAAUCAAUUUUCUUCUCAAUUGUUUCAAACUUUUUCUUUUUUCCUGUUAAUUUCCUGUCACCUCUAAACAUGCAAUUAAUUAAUUAAUAAAAACAUAUAAGGGUACAUAUGCAAAUUUCCCCCAGAUUAAAAUCAAGCCUACUGGUGGGGGCGGGUCCUUCUGCAGCCUUUUUGCCCUUCCCGCCAUUUCGGCUCCGCCUUUAUCUUUUAAGUUAAAUAUAAUAAAAUAAAUAAAUAAUCCAACUUUUUUCCCUUUUUUUUAAAAAUAUUUUUUAUUAUUUGAGUUACUUUGUCUUGGCCCCCACCCACUCUCUCUAUAUAUAUAGAGGCCAGAGGAAGGCCACAGUCCACAAUCAAAAGGAGAGGGAAAAAAAUCAUCACACGCAAACUCGCGGAGGAGAGAAAAAGGGAAAAGAGAGAAAAUUAAGUAGAGAGAUUCAUAGAAAAGAAAAAAAAAAAGAAAAAAAAAAAAAGAAGAUUUGUUUAGAAGAGAGAUGGACGCGAAGGGCGGUCGCGUCCAGAACGGAUUCCGACAGUGGCUGGAGGCGGGGAGCGACGCCAUCCCCGCUCCGGAUGUUCAAAUUUUGACCUCCGGUGGCCGCAAAAUUUCCGCCCAUUCUGCAGUUCUUGUGAGCACCCGAAACCUUCAAUUGAAAAAACAUUCAAAACUUUAUGUACUACAAUACAAUUAGAUACUCUCGAAUCGCAGAAGCUCACUGAGCACACAAUCGAUGUCUAAUCAUAUGCACUUUUUUUAAAAAGUAUUAAAUUUAUAUUUGUUUGUUUAUUUGUUUGUUUGUUUGUUUGUUUGUUUACAGGCCGCGGCGUCGCCAGUGAUGGAGAGUAUAUUGGAUCGGGCACAAAAGCGUGGAAAAUCGCGCAGGGUUAUUAGGAUUCUGGGAGUCCCCGAUGACGCUGUAAUGGCGUUUGUGCGGUUGAUCUACUCUUCUGGGUAUGUGUUCUUUUUUUUACCUUUUUUCCCUUCUUUUUUUUUUGGGGUUAAAUUGAUUAUAUUUAAAUAUUUAGUUAAAGAAAGGAAAAGUAAGUCUAAUGCAUUGAGGACCCUAUGUUUAAGGAGAAAUUAUUGCCCUGUAUCGUGAUGUAGUACCAUGCUCUGCUUUUAAUUAAAAAUAUUUUAAAUUUCGUUUGAUUCGGAUAUUAAUAAAAAUUAUUUAUUGUAGGAAUAGGUGCGAGUUCCAUUAUAAGCAAGAAUUAGAGUAAAUUUUUGUUUGUCAUUAUUUCUGAAAAUAAAAUAAAUAAUAUUUAAAUAGGUUUCAUUUGAUUCGGAUAUAAAUAUGAACUAUUUAUUGGAGAAAUAGUUACAAAUUCCUCUAUAUGCUGGAACUAGGGAGGGUUUUUUGGGAUUGUUUUUAAAAAUAAGAUAAAUAGUGUUUGAAUGGGUUCCGUUUGGUUCGGAUAUAAACAAGAACUACUUAUUAUAGGAAUAGAUACGAAUUCCGCGAUAAGCAAGAAUAAGGGUAAGUUUUUUUUUUGAAAUUAUUUUUGGGAAUAAAAUAAAUAGUGUUUGAAAAGACUUUGUUUGGUUCAGAACAGACAAGAACUAUUUAUUGUACGGAUAGGUAUAAGUUACGGUAUAAGCAGGAACUAGAGUAAGUUUUCAUUUGGGCUGAUGCACGGCUAAGCUGGUGCAUCGGGUGCUCGCAAUAAUUUCUCUUUGGACCCAUGUAAUCAUCAUGCUCAUCGUUAUCACAUGCACUGUUCGAAACUAAAGAAAAAAAAAUCAAGGGUCCAGAAUCUUUCUGAUGGCUCUGAGAAUUUCACAUUUCCCUGUCGAAAAUUAUUAUUUUUUAUUUUUUUUAAUAUUUAACUUAAUUCUUAGCUGGGGGUCCCACGCAACUCUUAUGUCGUCCCCUUCAUCCAAUCACAGCCCUCACACGGUCCAUUUCGUUCUAAUGAUGAUAGGCAUAAUAAUUGACUCAACACCACCGAGAAAUUUCGAGAUAUUUUUUUCGUGCUUCAGAUUUUUUUUUGGGGGUUCAUGUGCCACGAUGCAUACAUAAUGCAUAGUCACAAUAAUUUUAGUUUUUAUUUUUUUCACUUCAUUAAGGUAAUGAAGAGUACACAAAUUUUGGAUGUGACUGAAUAUCAAUGAAUAAUAAAAAAUAAAUUAAUCAAUCAAUAUAAGCAUUUUACACACCGUUUAUAAUAAAAUAUUAUAUUAAAUUUAAUCCGAAUGCUGAACUUAUGGCAUACUGAGUAGUACAAACGGAUCAUGUCAUGUCAAUCAGGUGCAUGUCGUUGGACGAGGAGGAGGAGAUGGGCAGGUACGGGCUGCACCUGCUGGUGCUGUCGCACGCGUACAGCGUGGGGUGGCUGAAGCGCGCGUGCGAGGUGGCGCUGGCGUUGCGGCUGACGGCGGAGGGCGUGGUGGACGUGUUGCUGCUGGCGCGGCAGUGCGAUGCCGCGCGGCUGUACCUCCGCUGCAUGAAGCUGCUGGCGAAGGACUUCGCCGCCGUCAAGAAGACCGAGGCCUGGCAGUUCCUCCAGGCCAACGACCCCUGGCUCGAGCUCGAAAUCCUCCAGUUCCUCCAGGAGGCCGAACUGGUACGUGACCAAAAUGUAUUAUGUUUGGUUUUGCCGUAGAAUAUAGUAAUUUUUGACAAUUCAUAUAAAUAAAUAAAUAGAUAGAUAAAAAGAUAUAAAAUUUAUCUGAAUGAUGAAUUAUUUUAAUAGAGAAAGAAGCGAGUUGGGCGCAAGCGGGCGUACCGGCGGGUAUAUGAAGAGCUGGGGGACGCGAUGGAGUGCCUGCAGCACAUGUACAUGGCCAGAGAGGGAAGCAAGAAGAACCACCCCUGCUCCUCAUCUGCCUGCUACCGCAACCUGCAGCUCCUCAUCCAACACCUCGCCGCCUGCCCCCGCAGGAAAGCCUGCCCCCGCUGCUGCCGCAUGUUGCAGCUCCUCCGCCUCCACUCCGCCCUCUGCGACGACAGCACGCAACAGGCUUGCCGCAUCCCUCUUUGCUCGUAAGUCUCUAUGCUGCUUUCUUAAAAGAAUUUGUUAGUUAAUGCUUUUAUCAUCCGCCUACGUUCAGGUGUAUCUGAGUCAUUUGGCUUUCAUAUGACUGAUGAUUGUUUAGGAAACAUUGGGAGGGAGUAUGCUGAGUUGGUGGUUGAUUGAUUUUAUAGUCUAUUUGGUACCACUUCUGUAUCUGUUCUCAGCAGCAGCAGCAGCAGUAUCAAGGAGAAAUUCUGGAGCUUCUGCUGUAGCGAGAAACUGAAAUUAGAUUUUCAACGUCAAAAACGAAUUACGUAAUGCUUCUUCUAAUAGCACGACAUCUAUUGGCAGUGUAAUCGCUCUAAUGUUUGGGGAGUUUGACAUAUUUUUCCUUUUAUUUUUGUUAGAGAACAAACUUAACCACUGAUGCCCUGCUUGUUGGGUUUUCCGUGUAUACCUGCAGGCAUUUCAAGCUGAGAAUGCAGCAGCAGAAGGAAGGGAAAGAAGAGGCCGACACAUGGCAGCUUCUGGUGAAGAAGGUGAAGGUUGCUCGAGUUAUGUCCUCCUUCUCUAAGAGGAAGGGACAGGAAGGAGUUCAUGAGCAAUUCGCACUUUGCACUACUACUGCAAGGACCAGCGACUAAUUUCAUAGAAAUUUUCUUUUUCCUUUCGUUCUUUCCCCCUAUUAGUACGGAAUUAAGAUGUGCCUUCCUUAUAAAGAGAGGAGCUUGAUGUAUGUAUAUGCAUGCCAAUCUUCUAGAGAGAGCUCUUAAUUAGCUUGUUAAAAAGGGGCAGACAGCUGUUAUAGAAAAUGAACUUGUAUUAGAGAGGAGCUUGGUGUAUGUAUAUAUAUGUCUAUUUUCUAGAGAGAAAGAGUUCUUAGCUUGUAAAAAAUGAGCAGGCAUCUGUUAUAGAAGUGGAACUUGUAUUAGAGCGGAGCUUGAUGUAUGUAUAUGUGUGCCUCUCUUUUAGAGAGAAAAAGUUCAGCUCUUAUAAAAGUGGAUCUUGUUUUAGCAUAAGAACAAUUAGUUACAUUUUGCAACUAACUUAAUAUAUAAUAUGCAAUAAGAAACUUAAGCCGAUCAAUUAUCGAAUGACGAACAUACUAAUGUCUUUUUGGAUGCUUAGCAUAGUAUUCAGACGUCCCUUUGGUAUGAUUCAAUAUAUAUAAACUAUAAUAUAGACUCAAAUUUUAUAAUAAUAAAGUAAUCUUUAUUUCUAUAACACACAAGUUAUUAUUAAAUAAUUUAUUUUACCAUUCAAAUGAGCCUUAAAAAUAACAUUUCCUCCACAUUUCCUGGUAAUGAAGCUGACCCUAGUUUUCUCCAUGCAAAUCAGGUUAGAGUCGAUAGAUCAGAAUGUCGUAAUCAAAUUACAAUCUUUGAAGUUUCCCUAAUGAAAGAGAUCUCUAAGUUAAGAAAUUCGAGUCUAGUCUACAGUAAUUAAAGAUUAUUUGACAUGUAGAAUUAGGUAUGCAUGUCACCAAUGACUAAGUUGAAAAAGUCCAUUAGUACGUUCUAUUAAUUUAAUUCAUUGUCACGACAAAGAGGUUUUCUUACUGUGAAUUAAAACUGACUAUUUGGUACAUUUGGCGAAAAAUUGAGAUCCUAAUUUUCAACAAUUUAGUACCAUAGUCCAACGCAAAAUUCAUGAAGUUUUAAGACUUGUCCAAAGUAACUUGUGCUGGGAGGUCUUAAGACUUGUCCAAAGAACCAAAUCAAGCAAGUCCUCGCGCGUUUCUCUCUCUCUCUCAAGCGUCCAAUUGCAAUACAAGAUGCAAACUUUCCAACAGUAAGUUGAAAAAAUAAGACAUGCAUAUAGUGAAACAAGAAGCCUUUACGAAGGUUCCCUAUAACAAUUCGAGGCAAUUAGGGCUUCAUAGUCAUGUGGUAAUAUUCUAGUACUUGUAAUUAAUACAGAGUUAUGACUUUUUUAUGGAAGCUCAACAACCCUUGAUGGGCUCACCGCAAUUACUGGUGCUCAUAAGUCACUAUUAUUUGAGUGUUGCAAAUAGGAAACAAUGAGUACCAAACAAAGAUGACUAGUAAAUCAGGAGCUACAGGAUUAAAGGAACAAAAAAAUUUAACUUCCAUGCAGUAGUAGGAUGUACCUGUGUGUUUACAAAUGAAGGAAGGGUAUCAUCCCUGCGAUGCCACAGGCCGCCAAAUAUGCACAACACAUUUAUCAGCAUUCGACAGUCGGGCGAGGCAUGGUUCCGAACGCAUUCACCCUCCUAACAACAGCAAAUGAAUUCACCCUAAAACCCUAAGAAGUUAAAUAUCAACGGCACUCGUAUAGCAACUAGGGCAAAAUGCCUGCUACAGCCCGUAAAUCUCAAAAUUUUCAUGUCUGUACAGAUUAUGAGCCUUCGCAAAGCAGUAGUACCUCUCUGGCAUACAACAUUUCGCACCUCCUCCUUUCAGCACGCUCCAGUUUCUCAGACUUGGCAUUUAAGCAUUCUUUCCGACAGCCUGCAUGUCUUCUAACCCUGCCACUGCAUGUAGCAAUGUCCUCAUCACGCACGAAAGCAUCGCCAAAGCUCCACCAGUCUCCGCGCAUCACUUCAACCACCAAACCCACACUAAAUCUUUCAGCCUCUUAGCAAUGCCAUGCGGCGACGCAUCUUGAGACCUGCCGCUGAAGCGCGGGCCAGAUUAUCGAAUUUCAUAAAUGUAUGGGAAGAUGAGAAUUCAACUCGUCAUCCCUUUUGUGCUGCAUCCCUUUCAUAAAUGUAUCGGAGUAGGAAUUCUAAUUAUACUAAGAUUUGGAUAGCUUUCGAUAUAAGCUAUAAAUAUAGCAUAUGUGCUAUUAUUAUGAUGGUGCUAUAGAUUAGUCACACCCAUAUGGCAUGGCCAAGAUGGUCAUAAUUUUAGUUGCACCUAAUGCAUGGGUUCAAAAGGACGUGUGCGGCUUUCGUAGCCGUGGGUCAUUGGUAUACCUUGUGUACGGAUACACGGGAUGAGAGAGAUGUUUUCCGAGAGUAUAGAAGACGAGAGAAUGGUAGGAGAGAUUUAAAAAGAGGGCUCGAGUUGUAGCUACUCUGUGCAGAAGAGGAGUCAGGUGUAAUUUUCUCUUAUUUAAUUAAUCUUGUUCUAUCCGCAUAUUUUUCUCUCUUUUCUGAUUGUAUCAGCUUUCGCUGAGGAGACGGGUUUAUGAUAAAAAUCCGAUUCGAAGCUUUCGUUGUGAAAUCCCAAUAAUCGGUACUGAAUCCACAGCAGUCGGUAUCGAAGCGUGUUGCGGAUUUACAAGAUCCGGUAACGGAGCGAGUAUCGGAUUCCCAACAAAAUACAUAAGGCUUCAAUACAGCAUCUCUAUAGUAGGCUUCGUCCGGCCAGUUGGCAACUCUUUCGCUAUCAGUAAGGCGACCUCGAUAGAAAUAUCUCGAUGGAAAAUCACGAAUUUGAGGAUGCAUUCUGUACCGCACAGAUAACAACAUUGUAGGACAGCCUGCUUGUUGGAACCUCUCAGACCUGCCACUGCUAGCAUUCUUGUAGCUCUCGGGAGCAAGUUUCUUGAGCAGGGCAGUGUAAUGAUGCUGAUAUACUGAACAAGAUGUAUCACGUUAAGCAUUCCCCCACACCGUGCGUGUCUUUCCGGUUCCUGGCGGACGUUGAACUAGCGUGAAAGGCCAAGGAUCUUGCCUCUCCGCCGCUCCAGUGCUUGUACCAGCUGCAGUAUGCAUUGCAGCCCACCGAACAGCAGCCAAUUGCGGGCCAUUAAAGGUCCGGUGAAGAUGGUCCACAAAAUUUUGAGGGAAGCAAUUGUGUUAGUGAAAAACUCAAAAUUUUGAAUUUAAACUUUAUUUUAUUCGAACUUUAAAUUUAUUUAUUAUUUAUUUAUUUAUUAUUUUGUUUUCUCUUUUAGUGAGAAAGAAACCAACGGAAUAUUAAAUCUCCUUUCUUUCCGCAGGUUCCGCUUCUUUCUCGUAACGCGAAAGAGCAUCAAAUUCUCUUUCUUUUUAUGUCAUUUUUUUUUUCUCUUCUGUUAAUACAAAAUAGAUAGAAAAGAUAUUAGAUAAUUGAUUAAUUCAUCUUUCAUUUUUGAAUAUUUUCUUUAUUCACUGGGUGUUGAAAAACUCUCCGUCAACCUCGUUUACGAUCGUCCUCAAAGGAGGAGGAAUUUCGGUUGUAUCUUGGGUAUUAUUUCGGGUUAAUCCCGCACGUAAGGACGGAAAUGCGCCUUAGCCCUUAGGGGAGUGCCUCGCACACUUUCGAAUAAGAUCAAAUUUUUAUUGAAAUAUUUGUGUUUAUCUGUAAGUUUGAUUUUAUCUUUAUCACAAAUUAGUUAGAUUUUAAUUACUAUCGAAUUUUUCGUUGUAGUUUUUUCACAACAGCAAUCAGGCAUAGCUGGAGGCUGAUCUUCAUACUUGGGAUAUUUUUUGAAUAUCGCAUUAACAAAUAUCUCAAAAAUUUCAUGGACCACAACUAGAUGGAUGCACAGUAGAUAUUACUGUGUCCAGAUGGACAUAUAUACUUGGACAGCUUUCAUAACUUGUAUUUUUUUGUUUUUUCCUCAAAAAAGAAAUAGUAUUAAGGUACAUUUUAAUUUAUCAUGAUAAAAAAAUUAGAGGUCGAGAGGUUGCCAACCUACAUAAGUUUAGUAGAGUCUCUUUCUAAGCAGCGUAAGUUCUAACAUUUACGUCUAAAUUUCUAGUGGUCUGAUGAUAAUGUACACAUAAUUUAUGCACAUAACCUAUUUUAAGAUUAUGACGUUCGAACCUAUGUAUGUGCCUAUAAGAUUUUUUCAAUUUAUUUGGAACAGGUGUUUAGAAUAGAUUUUUGAAAUAAAAGUAAUAAGAAAAGGAAAAAAAAGAAAAAGACAUUGAGGUCGCUUCUGGCCCCAGCUUUUCAUGAAAUCUACACGCGCCGUGGACCAUGGAUUGCAGUGUCGAUGGAACAAUCUAAAUCUAAGCACCCAACCCAUUUCAUUCAAUUUGAUCCUAGCCGUUGGAUUUCAAUAGUGCUAAUUAAUGUUGCCAAAGCAUUAUUAUUAGAUAAUUACUCGAAAAAAAAUCUUGUUAAUUGCCCGAAUCUUUUUUUUUAAAAAAAAUAAAAUUUUCUUUUAAAAUAGUUUGUAUUGUGGUUUUAGAUUGAAAAUUUUAGACACCACAGAAAGAAUGAGAUGACCUGAAUGAUCCACAGUUGGUGCGGUGCACCAAGCAAUAAUUUAACAUUGCUUAAUUUCUCGUAUAGCCACGCUAGAGUCCGGCUACUAUAUUCUUAUGAGUGUAGGUCUUUUUGUACUUAUAAUUUUUUGAUCGUUAGAUCUAGUCUUUCGAUGAUUUCCUCCCGUUAGAUUAUACUAUUCAAUUAACCACUUACUCAACCCCAAAGGACUACUAUCAUUCUAACCGGGAAUCACUAUUAUCCCAACCGCACAUCUCUUCAUCCAACAGCCGAAGUUUUCAUCCAACAGCUGAAAACUUCUGAGUAUAAAUGUGUCUAUAUAUACUCAUAAGAGUAUAGUAGCCCUAGCCGCUUGGCUAUUUGUACAUUCUGAAAAAAGUAAUAAAUUUUACAACACAAGUUGUGUCGAUGCGUAUCAAUCACAAAAUAAUAACAGUAAAUAUUUAUCUUUUUCACACCAAUAUACUAUUAACUAUUUACUAAUUUACUAAAAAAAUAAAUUUUAAAUCGUGUCAUCACCUUACGGUGGGAAAAUUAUACUAUGCUGAUAUUUUAUAGGUACGACACAACACAGUAGGAACUUAAAAACUUUGGAUUCUUUACUUGUUUUAAUCAAAUCCAUUGCAGGUAUUUGCAAGACACUAGUAUGUCUAAAAAUAUGAUAAGAAAAUGUUGGGAAGAUAUCUUGCCACGUCCCGUAUAAAAGACAAUAUUUUAAAUUUAAUAUUCAAUAAUAUGGAUUCAUUACAAAAAAAAAAUGCAACAGGAUAAUUUGCCAAAUACAAAAAACAGAGGAGCCUAAUUUGAAGGAUUUUAUAAUUGUAUAUUUUUUAUUCAUUCAUGUACAAAUCUUUAUAUAUUAAUAAAGUUUCAUUCCUCACUCGACGUGAGAGGAAUUCAUCCAUUUUCAAUUUUCUUUAUAAUAUCAAAACAGGAAGUCUUGAAUUUGAGUCACGUCAGGCCCCUAAUAUAUUAAUUUCUUCGUAUUUAAUUCAAAUCCACAUCAUAGGUCAACUAAUAAAUCUCGAGUCCAUGCGUGAAGGGGAGUGUCAACAUAGCUGUGACAAAUGACUCAUACUGUGGUCCAAGGCCACUUAAGAGCCAAAAAAUCUUUCUUUGAUCAGAGGCAAGUUUGCCAAUAGCAUUUAAUUGAUCACAAAUUGGCUUAAAACUCUCGUAAAUAUUCAAAUAAGGAAGAUGCAUCCGUCUUCAUAUAUUAAAGUUUUGAGAGUAAUUCAAAUUCACGAGUCUGCUAAUUUUGAGAAAAUGCACAUGCAAGAGCUUGCCAUACAUCUGCUGAAGUCUUCACGCCUACGACAAGUCUCAUGACUUCUUCGGAGAGAGUUCUAGUGAUCCAAGCUUUCACUAGACAAUCUGUGCGCGUCCAUGUCGUGAAAUCUGGAUUUUGAAUUUUGCUACUUCCGUCGAAUGAAGAUACUUCGUGAUGUGGUGGCUUUGAUUCUCCAGUGAUGAAACCAAGUAAAUCUUGACUCUCGAUCAAUGAUAAUACUCGUGUUUCUUACAAUAAAAAAUUAGUUGUAGUUAAUUUGAGAGAAACAAAAUUAGCAACAUUGAGGUUGCAUGGAUAUGGAUAUUUGGAGGUUGAAGUCAUUAUGUUUGAUAAGGUGGUAUUCUCUUGGUAAGGCUCCGGUACUAUAAAGAAAAUUUAAAAUUGGUGAAUUUCUGUCGCAUCGAGUGAGGGAUGAAAUUUUAUAAAUAUAUAGAGAUUUGUACAUGACUGAAUAAAAAUUAUACAAUAUUCAUAAAAUCCUUCAAAUUUGACUCCAUUUCAUUGCAUUUGACAAAUUAUCCUGUUGUUGUUUUUUUUUAUAAUAAAUUCAUAUCAUUAAAUAUUAAAUUUAAAAUAUUGCCUUUCAUGGCCGGACAGUUGCAGCUGGUGCGGCCGGGAGGUGGGUCCGGGAGCUGAGCUGUCUGCUGUUUCGGAUCAGAACGGAGCCGCUGGCGUCCGCGUCAGCAGCUCCGGGUCGGGCUGCUGGCAGCGGGGACGGAGUCGCUUCCGCGCUCCAAGAGCCGGUUAUUCAGCGAAAGAAACCUCGUCCCCUCUCUCUCUCUCUCUCUCUCUCUCUCUCUCUCGGAAACACGCACUCCCCCACUCGCCCCUUUGAUCCCCCCUUACUAGCUUACGUCACUAAUGAAAUCAUCACCUACUAGCAAGUAGCAAAGCCGGUUAGAGGACAAAUCGCAUUUAGACCCUCUCACCCUUGCGAAUUUUACCAUUAUAGAUCCCUCUUGUAUUAAUCUUUUUUUUUUUUGAAAAAAAUAUAGUAAACCAUCUGUUUUAUUUUUUUAAAUAAAUAAAUUAGGUUAUAAAAAAAGAAGAAAUGUCGAGAAGGAGAGAUUGGGCCCUAGAACAGUCUAUCUCAGGUAGACCUGAUCUUAAUGACAGAUUACCCAAUUUCUAUCCAAGUAAAUAUAUUGUUUAUGAUCUGUCAGAAUGAUUUCUUUCGAUGUUCGACUGUUUGGACAUUCUUUUUUUUUUUUUUUUGAGAGAUAGGUAGCACAUUACCCGCUUCGUAUAUUUCAUUUAGAAAUAAACUUAGUUAGAAAUGUAAAUCAACUAGGAUUUGCAUUUGGGUCUCGAAUACCAACCAUCAAAUCCUUUGUCACUUGCUCUAGGGACGGUCGGUGACUGUUUGGACAUUCUGUUAUUUUCUUUUAACUAGAUCAUCCAUUAUUAGGAUGUAAGCACCGUAAGUUUCUCACUUCUUCUUUGUUUGUUCUGAACUUUUGUCUGUUAUCUUUAAGAAAUCACAUUCUGAUUAUAUCUGCUAAGCUCGCUGAGUAUAGAAAAAUAUUUAUAAAAUAAAUUUAUAUGAGUAAGACUUACAUUGUAAUGUGUUAAUAAAUUUAUGUGAUAUUUUUAGAAUAUGUUUGUUAAUAUAUCAGACAUUUUCACAUCAUGAGUAUUAAUAUAUUAUAAUAGUAUUUUGAAAAACUUAUAAUAAUAUUUAAACUGUUUUUAUUUUACUAGUUGACUACUAAAAUCAUUUUUUGUCUCAAUUGUUUCAAACUUUUUCUUUUUCCUGUUAAUUUCCUGUCCCCUAUAAACAUGCAAUUAGUUAAUUAAUAAAAACUAUAAGGUACCGUUUGGUUCGGGGAUAAUGAAUUUGGGGAUAAAUUUUUUUAACCCUGGGAUAGUAGGCUAGUCUAGGAUAGUGAAGGAUAAAAGUAAAAUAGUGUUUGGUUUGUAAAACAAUCAUUACUAGGAAUAACAGAAAUUAUGUUUGGUAAGUUUAUUGGAAUAACUAAGAAUAGUGAGAAAAAGUGUUAGAUUAUUUUUGCAAAUACCAAUUUUGCCCUUAGGUUUCAUGUACAAAUAUUUUGUAAGUUACAGAACUAAUUAGAUUUUACAUUUAGCUAAGCAAGAGAACAUUUUAUAGACAUGAUUGUUGGAUUAAUUUUUUUUAAAAAUUUAAUGUCAGAAAUUAUGGUAGUAACAUAUGCUGAAGAGAAAAUAAUUAAAUUUAUGCACUUCAAGUCACUGUUAAAUAAAAUUAAUAUCGUCAAAUUAUACAAGAAGGUUGUUAAUUACAUCAAAUUUAAAAUUACAACAAAGUUCAAUGCUGCUUAAUUACUAUUAUACAAAACCAAACAGCAUGAAGGUAUUCAAGAGGAUGUUAAUUACAAAUUCCCAAAGGCAUAAAACCAUAAAGAAGACACAUUACAUUGAAAAAUAUCAACAACCAACUCAUACAAUUAUCAACUAUUUUUUCAAAUUUAAGCAAUUCAGAUUGCAAGUAACAAUGCAAAUAGUUAAAAAACAUCCGGUUACGAAAAAUUUUCAAACACCAAUUAGUGAAGGUUCAAGGUGAAGGCAAGAUACAUAACUAAAUAAAGCAAAUUACAAAGCAUGUUCACACAAAUUUAUAAAGAUUACAUCAUUUCUAAUAUAGCCUCCUAUCUAUUGUUCCACAAUUGCUCUGUGAUCAUAGUGCGAAGGGCGUCACCUCGCCGAGACUCAUCUGGGCCAAUAGGAGGUAUCGAGUCAUCAUUUUGGUCGUCUGUAGGAAAUUGGUCCGUUUGCAUGUUGAAGUAUCUAUCGGUCCCUUGAUGCCUCUUUAUGAAAUUGUGUAUCACACAACAGGCAAGGGCAAUGCGGCACUGUACUUUGUAAGGAAAGGGUGUAGCUUGUCGCAGCACCUUGAACCGUCGCUUUAGGAUCCCAAAGGCUUUCUCAACUACAUUUCUCAAUUGAGCGUGACGAUGAUUAUAUAAAUCUCGAGGUCCUCGAUGCCUUCGUGCCUGUGCGUUUACAUCAAAUUGGCUCAAGUGGUAUCGCUCGCCUCGAUAGGGAGCGAGGAAGCGGUCAGUGUUCGCAUAGCCUGAAUCGACUAAAUAAAAUUUUCCUAAACAAAUAUAAAGCUUUAUUAUAAUUACAAUAAUUAAACUUGUAUCAGACAUUAAAUAGCAAUAUAAUUUAUUUACCUCCCGGUACUGUGAAACCGCCGCUCUCGCAACACCAUCGCAACACCCUCAUAUCAGCUGCAGAACCCUCCCACCCGGUGCAUACAAAUAAAAAUUGAUGGUCGAAAGAACAUGCUGCCAUCAUGUUGUGAGAUGUAAAACCUUUUCGGCAACGAUAUCUUGGUUGCUUAGCCUUUCGUACAACCACCGGAAUGUGUGUUCCAUCUACUGCACCAAUUGCAUUCUGAAAAAAUAUUUACAUAGAUACAAUAGUUAACAUCAGAUAUCUCAUUAUCAAAUAAACAUAAAUUAAUUCGACUAAUUAAAGAACUCAAAUCUGAGGGUUAGUUACCUUGAAUGGAUGAAAAAUCGGAUUAUCUUUUAUUCUUGGGUGUACACCAACAUUAGAUGCCGGUGGUUGGAUGUACUCAUGUCUAAGUUCUACCACACCUCGCAGUACAUUAUUAAAAUGCCUACUAAUCGUUUCUCCUGAAUGUUGAAAAGUUUCAGCUAAAACUCUGUUGGCUACGCCAUGACCUAUACCAAAUAAAAAUAUACCAAGUUGCUCAUUAGCAGUUAAAUGCCUAGUGCUUUGUAUAAAUCCCCUCGCAACUAAUUCAUCUCGAAGUCUUAUAAACAUUGUGGUAGUCAUCCUAAAAUGUUGGUAUCCUCUAUCAGGAUGUCCACUCAAUAUGUCAUGAAUUAACUGAUGACCAGUGAACGGCCGUGUUCGACAAGGCUGCUUAUAAAUUGUGCUGCGGAAUGAGAAGUCCCCUUCUUCGAUAAGUAACGCAUGGACUUCUUCCCAAUAGUCCUCUUCCUCUUCUAAGAAUGUCAUGAGAUCGGCAACAAGUGGUGAAGAAAAAGCUUGACGAAAGAUUGCACCAGCCAUGACUGCAAAUGAACAAAAGAAAACAUUCAUAACACAAUUAUAGUUAUAGAUUAAUUUAUAAUGGCUCAGGUAGUAAGGUAGAAAAAUAUGCAGGUGGCUGCAUGGUCUUUAACCAUGCCUCCCAACCUUGCACACCUAUUUGGUUAGAUAUCAGCAUCGCCAAAAGGAGAAAGAAGGAUGCAAGAAAAGAAAAAAGGGUAAAGAAGAUGUGAAGCUGAAGCAAGAAUCAGGUGCACAAGAUUAUAAGUGACAGUAUUGCAAAUAGUCAAGUAAGCAAAUUACUGCCUUACAGCUGAAAUUCCAUAUAUGAAUCAAAGCUGAAACAAAGUAUAAAUGGUGAUACUUUGUGUUGGCUCAGGUUUUAAGACCCACAACCAUGAAUGUGGAUGCAAUACCUUACGAAUCGCCGCCCAAUCCAUUCAAGCCUGCUAGUCUUUUAUCAUCAUUGCCGAAUUCAUUGCCAAUAUGACCACAUGUAGAAUAUGAUCUGGGAGAAGAAACAACUUACCUUGGGCGGCACUGAACUAACCACAUUACUGCAGGUUGGAAGAAGAAAUGAAGCAGUGAACAGUUGGAGAUCGAGGUGAAAUGGCAUCCAACAGAAUGUGAGUAAAAGCAACAAUGUUGCAAGUACAAGUAUAGAUGGUCACAUAUUGUGUUGGCUCAGGUAUUAAGGCCCACAAGCAUGAAUGGUGGAUGCAACACCUUACGAAUCGCCGCCCAAUCCAUUCAAGUCUGCUAGUCUUUUAUCAUCAUUGCCGAAUUCAUUGCCGAUAUGACCCACAUAUACAUUUAGAUGUAGGAGAAGAAAGAACUCACCUUGGGUAGCAGUGUUCUAACCACAUCACUGCAGGUUGGAAGAAGAGAUGCAGUAGUGAACAGUUAGAGAGGUGAAAUGGCAUCCAACAGAAUGUGAGUAAAAGCAACAAUGUUGCAAUUACAAGUAUAAAUGGUGAUAUAUUGUGUUGGCUCAGGUAUUAAGGCCCACAAGUAUCAAUGGUGGCUGCAAUACCUUAAUAUUGCCCCCCAAACCAUUCACACCUGCUACUCUGUUACACAUCAUUGCCGAACGGACCAACAUGUAAACCGACAGCUGACAGGAGAGAAGAAGAAAAGUUAUACAAUGAAGUAAACAAGCAGCGAACAAUCAAUGCAAAGAUAGGUAUACAAAGCUGUAUUCGAACUACACUCAUUUGUUAUACCUGAACUUUACAAUCUGAACAAACUAGUUUUACAAUGCAGUAAACAGGUAGUGAAGAAACAAUAUAAAGAAAGCUAUAUAAAGCUGUAGAUGAUCUACACUAAUUAUUUAUACAUGAACUAUACAAUCUGAACAAACAAAUUUUACAAUAAAGUAAACAGACAGUGAAGAAGCAAUGCAAAGAAAGCUAUACGAAGUUGUAUAUAAAUUACACCAAUUAGUUAUACAUUAUCUUUACAAUCUCAAAAAACAAGUUUUACAAUUUAGUAAACCUGACAGUGAGAAAUCAAUGCAAGUAAACCAAUACAAAGCUGUAGAUAAACUACACCAAUUAGUUAUACAUGAUCUUUACAAUCUGAACAAACAAGUUUUUCAAUAAGGUACACAGGCAGUGAAGAAAUAAUGCAAAGAAAACUAUACAAAGCUGUAGAUGAAAUUCACUAAUUAUUUAUACAUGAUCUAUACAAUCUGAAGAAACAAGUUUUACAAUUUAGUAAACUGACAGUGAAGAAGCAAUAUAAAGACAACUAUACAAAGCUGUGGAUGAACUUCACUAAUUAUUUAUACAUGAUCUAUACAAUCUGAACAAACAAGUUUUACAAUUUAGUAAACUGACAGUGAAGAAGCAAUAUAAAACAACUAUACAAAGCUGUGGAUGAACUUCACUAAUUAUUUAUACAUGAUCUAUACAAUCUGAACAAACAAGUUUUGCAAUUUUGUAAACUGACAGUGAAGAAUCAAUGCAAAAAAAGCUAUAAAAAGCUGUAGCUGAACUACACUAAUUAGUUAUGCAUGAACUUUACAAUAUGAAUAAACAAUUUUUUCAAUAAGGUACACAGACAGUGAAGAAACAGUGCAAAGAAAACUUUACAAAGCUGUAGGUGAAAUUCACUAAUUAUUUAUACAUGAUCUAUACAAUCUGAACAAACAAAUUUUACAAUUUAGUAAACUGACAGUGAAGAAUCAAUGCAAAAAAAGCUAUAAAAAACUGUAGUUGAACUACACUAAUUAGUUAUGCAUGAACUUUACAAUAUGAACAAACAAGUUUUACAAUGCAGUAAAUAGGCAGUGAAUAAGCAAUGCAAAAGAAGUUAUACAAAACUGUAGAUGAACUACAUUAAUUAGUUACAAAUGAACUUUGUAAGAUAGUUGGUGUCAAACUAAUGAAACUAAACAAACUCACAAAAAUGUACAUAACCAUGAACUUUGCAAUUAAAAGUUAAGGCAUACAACUUAAAUCAGUACAAAAUAAACCAUGAUCUAACUUAUCCUAAUCAUGAGUUAGAGCAAACAAAC
rnacentral:lncRNA from 1 species